rnacentral:lncRNA from 1 species
CCCCCUUUAAGAACAUUCGUCCUCGAAUGUUCACACAAUAAACACACAUGCAAAUAAGCAAGUAAAGAAAACUUAACACCUUCCUCUGCAAAGAGACACAGAGACUACUGACGGAAACCCUCUCGGGUUCUCUAUCCUUCUUAACUCUGUUGGCCCGUAACUGCUUAAUCUGUGUUCACACUUUACACUGAUUAUUAACGUUUCUUUCUCUUUGACUCUUUUUAUACUCUUCUGCCCUUGCCUCUAGCUUUACCUGUCUCUCUAUUUUAACCGAACUUGUCUGAUAGAACUUGGCCUCGAUGCCGUAUUCUCAUAAAGUCUACACUACGUCAUAGAUAAGGGGCAUGCUUCUCUAUUUAUUUGCUUUUGCUGCGCAUUCUGAUCCUUGCCCGUCUUCUCUUCUUUUCUUUUUUUUUUUUUCCUGGCUUUCUCUCUUUAGAUUCCUUUCUACCUACACUGGACUAUUCUAGCACUCAGAUAUCAGACCUACCUUGGAAAACAACUGGUUUCUGCCAGCUGAUCCAACCGAUCGUCAGUCUGAAGUAAGGACUUGUAACUAAACUGGUAAACGACUUUUGAUUGAGUGCAGCUAACAUCUACUCUGCCUCACCCAGAGUCGUUGAGCAGUUUUACCCCGUACCUCUGU